AAUAUUAAAGUAUAUUAGCACACAAUUCAUUAAGAUGACUCUGAGGUCAAUUUUGGCAGAUCUCCAUCUCGGGUAUAAUCAUUAUUCAAGUUGUUCUUAUUUUCUUCGCCCAAAGUAGUGAAAUGCAAUUUGUCCAGUUGCAUAAUCAGUUGAAUGACAUUAUUAAUACUUCGAACAAGUCGAUAAGCAAGUAGUACUUGAAGUAAUUAUAGUUCAAAACUUGUGCCGAUAAGCAUUUUAAAGUUAUAUAAGUGAAGUAGAAAUCUGUGAGUUAAUGAUUUAUGGAUCAUAUAUUUCAAAUUUUUUGAAGAAAAUGCUAUACAGACUUAUUCAUGGGGUGUCGAAUGGAAAGUUUUAUAAGUUUUAAUCAGCUCGAUGGGAUGGCAAAUAUUUGUUAAUUGUUCAAAAGAGCAGGAGAAGUUAUUAAAAUUUUUAAGUCUACUGUAAUGUUAGCUUAGCACUUGACUAGCGACAACACGGGAUUACGUCUAUAUCGAAACACAUAUCAGGAUCGUAAACAAUUGCUGAUAAGCUGGAAUAAGAAUUCGUUUACUAUUUACUGAUACUUUCAAGGGGCAAAACGAUAAGAUUUCAAUCGGAUUAUCGUUAAAAGUCAAUUGAAUCAUAUGAAGAACGAUAAAAAGAAUAAAUGUUUUUGCAGUAGUUACUUUAAAUUUAGAAACCGAUUGUCAUGGCAAUUGAGUGUUCAGUAAAUUGAAACAAAUACAUUAAUUAAUUAAUUACAAAAUCGUGUAAUUUGCAAGUGCAACGACUCAUUUCAAGUUCUUAUGACAAUAAAAUUAAAACAAAAAACUAAUAUACAUAAUAAAAACAACAACAUAAACGUACUUAAUUGAUAUGCAGCAACGAUAGAGCCGCAAACGAUCUUGAACGAACCGCGCGCGAAUUGAAACUGAAACUGUUGUAAAUUCGGUGCCUUAAUUUUAUAGAAGUGACUAGCUCUCGGACAGACGAAUUGUUCGCGAUAUGGCUGCCGAUAAACUGAAUGCCGAAUGUCGGCAGUCGUCAGUCGCCGAAAGUGCUGUUAGAUAAAAAUUAAAAAACUGCCGUCUACCUUAGACGAACCUUGGACGCACUCAAGUCUAACUCAAUAUUACAAAACUACAAACCGAGCGAGUAAUAUUCGACAAUUCAUAAAAUUGGAAGACGCAGGCUAACCAGCUGCUGUUGCACCUAGAACCGUUGGCAAUUUGUAAUUGUAAUGUAUUCCACUUAAUAAGAACAAUGAGUUUUGAUUGUUUAAUGUCUUUUAAUACUUCACACUACAAAAUAAAGAAAUAAGGCAUACUUUAUUGAACAACGAACUUCGUGGAAAUUGGUUGGGACAUUUCCAAUUACGACGACACACAUUCUGCGAAUAUAAAGAAAAUUAGAUGUUAGAGAAUAUCUAAAGGAAUAUAUAUGAUCACUUACUGUCGGAUGCGGUCCAGCCAAUAUGCACAUUAUUCUUGAUGUUCUCGGCCUCGAGCCAGACGCGAAGAGGUUCAAAGAACUCGGCGAUUGCCUUGCCGCUCAUAAUACGCUCCCCGUUGAAGGCCUCCAGUGCAUCGGGCCAGGGCUUCGAAGCACCCAAAGAGAGCAUAUUCCUAUUAAGAACAAGUUAAUUAAUUAAGUUGUACCAAGUGAAAUUUGGUCGUACUUACUGGAAUGCGGCACCAGCUGCUGCACUGCCAUAGAUAUCACAGUUGUCCAAGGGCAAAUCGGGAUUUGUGGCAUCGUAUUGACCAGCCUUGAUGCAAGCGGACUUAUAGAAUUGGAAUUGGAUGAUGAAUGAAACUAGAUAUCUAUAAAAUAUAAACAAAUUUUAAAAUCCACUACUAAUACUCAAAAGCUGUUUUACUCACCUCAAGUAUUCUACAUCAGCUGAAAUGUGAUAUUUGGCUGGAGGAUCAAAGUCCUUCUCGGAACGCACAACUGGGGGUUCAAUGCCGGAGUAUUCCUCACGCAGCUUCCAGAAGGCGCAGUUCCAGUUGGCUUUGUCCACCUCACCUCGGAACAACGACCAACGAUACUUGUCCAGGGUGAACGCGAAAGGCAAAAACACAAUCUUAUCGAGCGCAGUCAGGAAUAGCUGAUUGAUACGGGCCUCCUCAUCUAGCACAAAGUUCUUCAACAGUCCAAUCUUCUCCAGAUGCCUUGGUGUCGAAACAGACAGCGAAAGCACGUCGCCAACAGCCUCAUGGAAACCGGGAUUGGCGCCAGUACGAUACACAAAUGGCUGAUGUUGAUACUGCAGGAAGUAUUGAAUGUGACCCUGUUCGUGGU